UGGGGAAUAUUGCACAAUGGGGGAAACCCUGAUGCAGCGACGCCGCGUGAAGGAAGAAGUAUGUCGGUAUGUAAACUUCUAUCAGCAGGGAAGAUAGUGACGGUACCUGACUAAGAAGCCCCGGCUAACUACGUGCC
rnacentral:rRNA from 1 species